GACGAACGCUGGCGGCGUGCUUAACACAUGCAAGUCGAACGGAAAGGCCCUGCUUGUGUGGGGUGCUCGAGGGGCGAACGGGUGAGUAACACGUGAGUAACCUGCCCUUGACUUUGGGAUAACUUCAGGAAACUGGGGCUAAUACCGGAUAGGAGCUCCUGCUGCAUGGUGGGGGUUGGAAAGUUUCGGCGGUUGGGGAUGGACUCGCGGCUUAUCAGCUUGUUGGUGGGGUAGUGGCUUACCAAGGCUUUGACGGGUAGCCGGCCUGGGAGGGUGACCGGCCACCUUGGGACUGGGAUACGGACCAGUCGCCUACGGGAGGCAGCAGUGGGGAAUCUUGCACAAUGGGCCGAAGUCUGAUGCAGCAACGCCGCGUGCGGGAUGACGGCCUUCUGGUUGUAAACCGCUUUCGCCUGUGACGAAGCGUGAGUGACGGUACUGGGUAAAGAAGCACCGGCUAACUACGUG
rnacentral:rRNA from 1 species